rnacentral:rRNA from 1 species
CCCGUAAAAAUUGGAGUUUCAACCUUGCGGCCGUACUCCCCAGGCGGACAACUUAACGCGUUAGCUGCGACACCGAGAGGCAGACCCUCCCAACAUCUAGUUGUCAUCGUUUAAGGCGUGGACUACCAGGGUAUCUAAUCCUGUUUGCUCCCCACGCUUUCGCACAUGAACGUCAGUAUUCGACCAGGAAGUCGCUUUCGCCACUGGUGUUCCUUCCGAUAUCUACGCAUUUCACCGCUACACCGGAAAUUCCACUUCCCUCUUCGAUACUCUAGCCAUGCAGUCUCAAAUGCAGUUCCCAGGUUGAGCCCAGGGAUUUCACAUCUGACUUACAAAACCGUCUACGCGCGCUUUACGCCCAGUAAUUCCGAUUAACGCUCGCACCCUCUGUAUUACCGCGGCUGCUGGCACA